rnacentral:rRNA from 1 species
GAUGAACGCUGGCGGCGUGCUUAACACAUGCAAGUCGAACGGAAAGGCCAGUGCUUGCACUGGUACUCGAGUGGCGAACGGGUGAGUAACACGUGGGUGAUCUGCCCUGCACUUCGGGAUAAGCCUGGGAAACUGGGUCUAAUACCGGAUAGGACAAUGGUUUGGAUGCCGUUGUGGAAAGUUUUUUCGGUGUGGGAUGAGCUCGCGGCCUAUCAGCUUGUUGGUGGGGUAAUGGCCUACCAAGGCGUCGACGGGUAGCCGGCCUGAGAGGGUGUACGGCCACAGAGGGGGAUGGAGACACGGCGCAGACUGAGGGGGGGGGGAGGAGGGGGGUAUAGUGAAAGAGGGGCGGGGGUGUGACGUAGGCGCGCGGGGGGGGUGAAGAGGGUUGGGGGGGUAGAAACCGUGCGCGAGGGGGAAAGAGCGUGUGUGACGGUACCGGGAAAAGAAGCACCGGCUAACUACGUG